GCUCGCUCCGUUAAACCACCCUCUUCGGUCGGGGUAAUCAUUUUCUCGGCGCAGGCAGGCCGACGAUCUAAGAGGGUAAAAGACACAGUUCUAAAAAGUUCGUGUGGUCGGUUCUCGGUCGCCUGGACGCCGCUUUGUCCAUGUCGUUCCGCGGUAAGUCACACGCGCGCAGCGUCCUGACGAUAAAUCGUUUUCGUUCUCUUCCACAGAGGGGUGCACGCGGCAGCGGCAUGGAACAGGGAACGGUGUCGUGAAGUGAGGCGGUAGGCGCGUGUCGUCCGCGCGCGCGUGGUUGGAACGACGACGGCGAUGGCGAGCUCGGGCACGGCGGUGGUCGACGGGGUCGGCGAUGACGGCACGACGGGCGUGCCGGGCGGCGGGCCCAGAAAUCCCCUCACCUGCGGUGUUUGUCACAAUUACUACAACGAGCCCUGCCUGCUCUCCUGCUUCCAUACCUUUUGCGCCCGGUGCAUACACGGUCCUCACAUCGACGGGACGAUCAAGUGUCCCAUCUGCGGGCAACAAACACAGUUGAAAGAUGGAACGCAACUACCACCUGCCGAUCAACUAAUACGCCAACUGGUGGAACUGGCAAAUUCUGAAAAUCCACCAUGUGCCAAUUGUGACAAGCGUGACAAGUCUACUAUGUUUUUCUGUACAACAUGCGGACAAGCGCUUUGCACUCACUGCAGGGAACACACCCAUCGCGCAAAGAUGUUCUCCACCCAUGAGGUGGUGCACAUGAGCAAGUGCACGAAAGACACCCAACGCCGUUGUCCGAGCCACGGCGAGCAGUAUAUAAUGUUCAGCCAGAGUGCCAAGUGUAUGCUGUGCGCCACAUGCUUUCGCGACACGCCCCCGGACGCGCGGGUGCACUGCAUAGACAUCGAGAGCGCUUGGCAGCAGGCCUCGAAGAAGAUGGAGCGCGCAGUGAACUCGAUCUGCGAGCUCCAGGCUGGGAUUAAGGACGGCGUGCUGGCGCUCAAGUCGCAACUGGACGAACUGCGGCACAGCCUCGAGUCCGAAAAGCGCGCGUUGACCGCCUUCUGCCAGGGGAUGCAGGAGGCGAUCAACAAGACACACGCGUACGUCCUCGCCGAGCUGCAGCGUCAAUUCGACACUAAGGAGCGUAUGGUGCGCACGCAGUUGCUCGCACUCGGUGGUGCGUUACCUGUGCUGCAAAUGCAUCUGAUGCUGUGCACCGCGUUCACCACUGGCGCGACCAAGUAUCAGUUCCUCGAGCUGGCGCACCCGAUGCUGGAGCGGCUGAGCCGCGUCGCCCAGCUAGGUCAUCCGUCGCGGCCACCGCUGCUCGCUGCUCACAUCAAGACCAAUUAUCGAGCCGACUUCGCACGCGCUCUGCAUCCUUACAUAACCCAAGUGCAGACCCCGAAAAUGCCCGCUGAAUCCCUGUACGAUCAGAUGAUCGGCGGUCACACGAUAGGCCAGCCGGAGCCACAAGUACUUCAGAGUAACAAGACUACUCAGAGACUCCCGCCCCCGAAGAGCGGAUCUGACGGCGGACCAUUCUCCAAUCAUUGUCGAACCUUCGACACCCAGUUAAAGGAACUGAGCCAGCAGUUGAUAACGGUGAGAGAGCGACUGGGCGAGCUGCAGCGGGACGUUUCUGUCUUGAAGCGAGCGAAUACUCCGCCGCUGGGUUCGCGCUACGAUCACGUGGCGAGAGACUGCCGUGUGCUUGAGCAGCAAUUGGAGCAUCAUCAGAUGGAGCUGGAGCGACUGAGAAACAUCUUCGACGCGCUCUGGGAGGAGCAGAUGUGUAGAAUUCACGUGGAAAAAGAGAUCUUCCACUCUCAGAUGAAUGACAUACUGUCCCUGAAGAGCGAGGUGAAGAAACUGCAAGUGCUCGCUCAGCACCUGGAGCCCUUCGUCAAGUCAUUCUCGAUAGGUAUCGGCGCGGGGGAGAUAAGCACAGCCGCGGCGGAUGCGGUUGAUAAUCAGCAUCUGCAAGCAUUGCUGGAUCAUUUGGCACGCUUGCAGAUGCAGGAGCCACCGCCGGUGCAUCCACAGGCUCAAGCACCGACGAAGGAUCAUCGUCAUCCACGCAGCACUACCACGAGUGCCGAUAAUGCAUUAUACAUGAAAGAGACGAAGGAGAUCCCGACGCGAUGUCGCACGCCGUCCGGCGGUGUCGGCGCCGUUUUAGACUCGAGCGGCAACAUAGUCGUAUACGGUACGGCCAAAUCGACCGAUCCGAAACGAGGCGUGCUCAGCCAAUUGAUCGAGAAGGCCAGAACGCAGAAGGACGAUCGCAAGAAGUCGCCAGGCAGGGAGGAUGGCCGCGAUCGCAGUCAGAGUCGACGUUCGCGCAAGUCGCCGGACGGCUCGAAGCCGAAGACGCCACCCGGGCACUCGUCCGGCAGCAAGAUGCGGUCGUUAUAUCGCUCCCUGAAAGGCGGCACUGGCGACACUUCCGCCGAGGCGCUCGAUCAGGCGGAGAGAUGCACCGACUCGCAACAGCCGCAGUCUCACAUUGGUAAGAAUUGCGAAAGAAUUGCGAAGGACCGUCGCAAACGUGCGCAAACAUACUGAUACAUUAUGACACGCAGGUCUUCCUUUGUAGUCCGGGAUGAAAUUUCGGGUUUAGACUUAGAGGCGACAUAAACAUCCGACAGCCGAAUACGUAAAGUUACUCCACCGUUCGUCGCAUACGCUCCUUACAUAUGCAAUAUAUCAGGCGAUGACGGCGAGUAUCAACGAAUCUCGGAGGCCUCGAGCAUGGGCGAAGCGAAGAAACGUGUGCAGGCGCAGGUGCACGCGAUCCCAACCGACGAUCAGAUACGAGCGAUUCCGAGCAGCAAAAUC
rnacentral:misc_RNA from 1 species